rnacentral:piRNA from 1 species
UGAUGUAUACAUAAUAAAUAAAUAUCUAAAA